rnacentral:misc_RNA from 1 species
AUUCAGAAAACUCGCAAAUGGUACUUAGUGUAUAUCCUCCUUACCUUUCACAAGGGCAUUGUAAGCAACCUUUGCAGCAUUCAUCUCUGCUUGUUUCUUGGUUUUAGCUUCUUGUCCUUGAAAAGUCCGAUCUCCAACUUCCACCAUUGAGCGGAAUACUGGUGCAUGAGGUGGGCCAGUUCUGGCUGUAUCAUAAACUGGAAAAAGUAAAGCCUCUUUUUGAGCCAGUUCUUGCAGAAGUGUCUUGUACAAACCUUCAUCCUCCUGAGUGUCAUUAAGUGCUAAUGACUCAAAAGCAACCUUUGCAGCUGCAUGUUCAGCUUCCUUCAAUGUAGAGAAGAACUCCUGAGUUUCG